rnacentral:rRNA from 1 species
CGGCGCACGGGUGCGUAACGCGUAUGCAACCUACCUUGUACAGAGGGAUAGCUCGGAGAAAUUCGGAUUAAUACCUCAUGGUAUUAUUAUAUUGCAUGAUGUAAUAAUUAAAGGUUACGGUACAAGAUGGGCAUGCGUCCCAUUAGCUAGAUGGUAAGGUAACGGCUUACCAUGGCUACGAUGGGUAGGGGGCCUGAGAGGGUGAUCCCCCACACUGGUACUGAGACACGGACCAGACUCCUACGGGAGGCAGCAGUGAGGAAUAUUGGACAAUGGGCGGAAGCCUGAUCCAGCCAUACCGCGUGCAGGAAGACUGCCCUAUGGGUUGUAAACUGCUUUUAUUUGGGAAUAACCACUCCUACGUGUAGGAGCCUGAAUGUACCAAAGGAAUAAGCACCGGCUAACUCCGUGCCAGCAGCCGCGGUAAUACGGAGGGUGCAAGCGUUAUCCGGAAUCAUUGGGUUUAAAGGGUCCGCAGGCGGGCAUAUAAGUCAGUGGUGAAAGCCUACAGCUUAACUGUAGAACUGCCAUUGAUACUGUAUGUCUUGAAUUCGAUUGAAGUGGGCGGAAUGUGUCAUGUAGCGGUGAAAUGCAUAGAUAUGACACAGAACACCGAUAGCGAAGGCAGCUCACUAUGUCUGAAUUGACGCUCAUGGACGAAAGCGUGGGGAGCGAACUAGGAUUAGAUACCCCGGUAGUCCACGCCGUAAACUAUGAUUACUCGUUUUCGGUUUUAUUAAUCGGAGACUAAGCGAAAGUGAUAAGUAAUCCACCUGGGGAGUACGAUCGCAAGGUUGAAACUCAAAGGAAUUGACGGGGGCCCGCACAAGCGGUGGAGCAUGUGGUUUAAUUCGAUGAUACGCGAGGAACCUUACCAGGGCUUAAAUGCAGAAUGACCGUUCUGGAAACAGGACUUUCUUCGGACAUUUUGCAAGGUGCUGCAGGGCUGUCGUCAGCUCGUGCCGUGAGGUGUUGGGUUAAGUCCCGCAACGAGCGCAACCCCUAUCUUUAGUUGCCAACGAGUAAUGUCGGGGACUCUAGAGAAACUGCCUACGCAAGUAGAGAGGAAGGCGGGGACGACGUCAAGUCAUCACGGCCCUUACGUCCUGGGCCACACACGUGCUACAAUGGUCGGUACAGAGGGCAGCUACCCCGCGAGGGGAUGCAAAUCUCGAAAGCCGAUCUCAGUUCGGAUUGGAGUCUGCAACUCGACUCUAUGAAGCUGGAAUCGCUAGUAAUCGCGCAUCAGCCAUGGCGCGGUGAAUACGUUCCCGGGCCUUGUACACACCGCCCGUCAAGCCAUGGAAGCUGGGGGGACCUGAAGUCGGUAACCGCGAGGAGCUGCCUAGGGUAAAACUAGUAACUGGGGCUAAGUCGUAACAAGGUAACC